rnacentral:siRNA from 1 species
ACUCGGUUCUUUGAUACUCCCUC